rnacentral:misc_RNA from 1 species
GUCUCCGUGGUGGGCCAGCCAAAGAGUAGAAGUCAAGAGGCGCUUGUAAUAUUUCAAAUGUUACGUCAUAUCGUCCUUACAGACGCAAAGCUCUUCGAGAUAAGUUACAAGAUGGGAAAUUAAGUUUAUGCGAAUACGGAUAAUAUGACGAUAUAGCAGCAACGAUGAAAUAAUGUAUUCGCAACAAUGGUUACAAUAGCGAUUCGCAACUGUCAUUAAAAUCUGUGAAAGCAGCCAGUGAAGUACCCAGUAAGGGAAAAUAUGAAAACUCAAGAAUUAUUAUCUAAUUAAAGUUAUCUGAAGUUAUCUCGAUCGAUUAAAUAUUAUCAAGUGACAAAAGCAGAAUUAAAAUACCGAUAACGAGGUGCUAAAGAAUGAAAUAUCUUCCAUUCUUAACAUUCAGCUGACAAUCAAAUAUUC